UACGUAGGGGGCAAGCGUUGUCCGGAUUUAUUGGGCGUAAAGAGCGUGUAGGCGGCCAGACAGGUCAGCUGUGAAAACUCGAGGCUCAACCUCGAGACGUCGGUUGAAACCGUCUGGCUAGAGUCCGGAAGAGGAGAGUGGAAUUCCCGGUGUAGCGGUGAAAUGCGCAGAUAUCGGGAAGAACACCCGUGGCGAAGGCGGCUCUCUGGGACGGUACUGACGCUGAGGAGCGAAAGCCAGGGGAGCCAAACGGGG
rnacentral:rRNA from 1 species